rnacentral:lncRNA from 1 species
AUGAUCCGCGCGCCGCUCCCCACCCGCCCCCCAGCCAAAAGCCGGCAAGGCGGGCCUCCCCGGGGACGCGGGGUGCAGGGGGGUCACAUCCCGCGCGGGUCAGCCGCGGGGCCCCGGGGGCUGCGGGCGAGGGCGAGGGCGAGGGCGAGGGCGAGGGCGCGCGAGGCUGGCGCGGAGGCGCUAGGGCGCGCGGCGGAGGGAGCCCGGCACCCGCGCUCCGGGGCGGCGGCGGCGGCGGCACCCGGGCCGGCGAGCCCGAGGCAGCAUCGCAGUUUAUUUACAAGCCCGGUGCCAGCCGCCCGCCCGCCCGCCCGCCGCACGCGCCGCCGCCGCCUCCGCCCUCCUCCGCGCUCCCCCCGCCGCGCCCCUCCCCGCCCGCUCCAGCCUCAGCCCCGCAGCCGCCGCCGCCGCCGCCGCGGGCCGAGCGCACGCCGCCCCCUCCCUCCUCCCUCCUCCCUCCCCCUCCUCCCUCCUCCCUCCUCCCUCCCUCCCUCGCCGGGGUGGGGCCCCAUUGUCCCGCCCCGUCGCGGCGGGAGGCCCCCGCGGCGCCCCGCCCCCCCGCGCCCGCCGCCCCGCACCCCCGCGCGCCCCGCCGGCCGCUCGCGCGCUCCCCGGGGGCCUCGGGGCAACGAGGGGGGCACCCGAGCGGGUGCGGGCGCUGUCUGCCCGCCGUUCCCCCGCGACCUGUCGACCUCCCUCCGGCGUCGGCCUGGCCGCUGCAGCUUUACAUUCCCUGGUCACCCCCCAGCCCUGCUGCGUGGCUUUGGAAGUAAAAUCCCAAGUUGCUGGGUUGGCCACGGCCAAGCGCUGCUGAGAGUCCACAGACUGGGUGGCUCCCUGUCUGCUUUCCGGUGCCCGGUGGAGAGGGCUGCCCUGUGCCCUGGUCCCCGGUGGAGAGGGCUGCCCUCCCCUCCUCCCCUCCUUGGCCCUUCCUUGGCCCUUGGCGCUCUGGUGAACAGAGGGUUGAAGAAAUACAAAGAGCUCCCGGGGGGAUCCCUGUCUGCUUUCUGGUUCCUCGUGGAGAGGGCUGCCCUCCCCUCCCAGGCCAAGGGGUGCUCUGGUGAGCAAUGGGUUGAAGAAAUAGAAAGAGCCCCUGGGGAAGGGGGGGGGGAUCCCUGGGUGGCCCAGCGGUUUGGCGCCUGCCUUCAGCCCAGAGCGCAAUCCUGGAGCCCCGGGAUCGAGUCCCACAUCGGGCUCCCUGCAUGGAUCCUGCUUCUCCCUCUGCCUGUGUCUCUGCCCUCUCUCCCCCUCUCUGUGUCUCUCAUGAAUAAAUAA